rnacentral:rRNA from 1 species
GUCCACGCCGUAAACGAUGUCAACUAGCAGUUGGUCCUAUUUACAGGAUUAGUGGCGCAGCUAACGCAUUAAGUUGACAGCCUGGGGAGUACGGCCGCAAGGUUAAAACUCAAAUGAAUUGACGGGGGCCCGCACAAGCGGUGGAGCAUGUGGUUUAAUUCGAUGCAACGCGAAGAACCUUACCUACCCUUGACAUCCAGAGAAUCUGUUAGAGAUAGUAGAGUGCCUUCGGGAACUCUGAGACAGGUGCUGCAUGGCUGUCGU